rnacentral:rRNA from 1 species
ACCUGGUUGAUCCUGCCAGUAAUGAUAUGCUUGUUUCAAAGCCUCCAAGCCAUGCAAGUGUAGUAUAAAUUGACUUUACGAUGAAACUGUGAACGGCUCAUUAAAUCAGUUAUAGUUUAUAUGAUGGUAUUGAAGUUUGUCUUCAACUACAUGGAUAACUGUAGUAACCUAGAGCUAAUACAUGCAUACACAAUCAAACUAUUUAGGAAUGAUUGGUACUUAUUAGAUAUCAAACCAAUAUAUUUUCGGAUAUUAUUUCGGUGAAUCAUAAUAACUGAACAGAUCGCAUGAAUUUAUUUCGGCGACGUUUCAUUCAAAUUUCUGCCCUAUCAACUAGAUGUUAGUAUAUAGGACUAACAUGGUUUUAACGGGUGACGGGGAAUUGGGGUUCGAUUCCGGAGAAGGAGCAUGAGAAACGGCUACUACUUCUAAGGAAAGCAGCAGGCGCGCAAAUUAUUCAAUGGAAACAUUUUUCCGAAAUAGUGACAAAAAAUAACAAUAUGUUGCACAAUGUGUGAUAUAAUUGGAAUGAGUACAAUUUAAAAACCUUAACGAGUAACAAUUAGAGGGCAAGCCUGGUGCCAGCAGCCGCGGUAAUUCCAGCUCUAAUAGCGUAUAUUAAUGUUGUUGCAGUUAAAAAGCUCGUAGUUGAAUUUUGAAUUUUUAAAUAAGUUUGGUUUACAUUUUUAUGUAUGACUACUUGUUUGAAUUCUUCCUACUAGAUACUCGAUACUGUUCUUAAUUGAAUGGUAUAGCAAGAUUUCGGUUUUGUCAAUAUUGUUUAAUAGCUCCUCAAAUAUGUGGAUAUACGUAAAAAUAUAAAUAUAUAUUUAGUGGAUCAAGUUAUUUUAUUAUAUUGGAGUUCUAGUUCAUUUACUUUGAGAAAAUUAGAGUGUUUAAGGCAGCCUCUUGGGGCUCUGAAUACAUUAGCAUGGGAUAAUAAAAUAGGAUUUAAAACAUAUAUUUGUUGGUUUGAAUGAUUUAAAUAAUGAUUAAUAGGGAUAGUUGGGGGUAUUUAUAUUGGAUGGUUAGCGGUGAAAUGCAUGGAUCCAUUCAAGAUAAACUAAAGCGAAAGCAUUUACCAAAGAUAUUUUCACUAAUCAAGAACGAAAGUUAAGGGAUCGAAGAUGAUCAGAUACCGUCGUAGUCUUAACCAUAAACUAUGCCGACCAGGGAUAUGAGUUGUUAUGAAUAUAGAAAUAUAUUCAAUUUCUUCUUAUGAACCUUGUGAGAAAUCAUAAGUUUUUGGGUUCUGGGGAGAGUAUGGUCGCAAGGCUGAAACUUAAAGGAAUUGACGGAGGGGCACCACCAGGAGUGGAGCGUGCGGCUUAAUUUGACUCAACACGGGAAAACUUACCAGGUCCAGACAUUAGAAGGAUUGACAGAUUGAUAGCUCUUUCAUGAUUUAAUGGGUGGUGGUGCAUGGCCGUUCUUAGUUGGUGGAGUGAUUUGUCUGGUUAAUUCCGAUAACGAACGAGACCUUUACCAUACUAAAUAGUUUGAUCUAUAAUUUUUUAUAGGUUUAUUUUAAAACUUCUUAGAGGGACUAUUGGUUUCUAAACCAAAGGAAGUAAAGGCGAUAACAGGUCUGUGAUGCCCUUAGAUGUUCUGGGCUGCACGCGCGCUACAAUGAUAAACUCAACGAGUAUAUAUUUUAUUUUAUUGCUUUACUGGAAAGUAUGGCUAAUCUUAAACGUUUAUCGUGCUUGGGAUAGAUGAUUGCAAUUAUUUAUCUUGAACCAGGAAUUCCUAGUAAUCGUAUAUCAUCAGUGUGCGAUGAUUACGUCCCUGCCCCUUGUACACACCGCCCGUCGCUGCUACCGAUUGGAUGAUCCGGUGAAAUCCUCGGAUAAUGAUAAAUACUUUACUUUGUAAAGUUUAUUGUUAGAAGUUGAUUAAACCUUAUCAUCUAGAGGAAGCAAAAGUCGUAACAAGGUUUCCGUAGGUGAACCUGCGGAAG